rnacentral:sRNA from 1 species
UCGACCGCCCAUAAGGGGAUCGGCAACACAGUCAAGAACCGCGAAAGCGGUCUUGCGAAGGUCUGUACCCAUGUUGCUCAAAGGAGGAUAUGGCUAUGGCAA